rnacentral:tRNA from 1 species
GCCCCGGUAAUCCAAUCGGUAGAGAUGGUGGACUCAAAAUCCAUACAGUGUCGGUUCGAAUCCGACCCGGGGUA